rnacentral:rRNA from 1 species
GAUGAACGCUGGCGGCGUGCCUAAUACAUGCAAGUCGAGCGGACGGACGCGGAGCUUGCUUUUUUCUUGUUAGCGGCGCACGUGUGAGUAACGCGUGGAUAACCCACUUAUCAGUCUGGGAUAACUUCGGGACACCGGAGCUAAUACCGGAUAAUAUCCUGAACCGCAGUGUUCAAAGGAGAAAUACGGCGUUGCUGUCACUACUAGCUGCAUCCGCGCUGCAUUGGCUAGUUGGUAAGGUAACGGCCUACCAAGGCAACGAUGCAUAGCCGAACUGAGGGAGUGGUCGGCCGCACUGGAGCUUGAACGCGGUCCAUACGCCUACGAGAGGCAGCAGAAGGGAACCUGCCGCAGUAGGCGGAAGCCUGACGGAACAACGGGGCGUGUGUGAUGGAGGUCUUGGGAGCGUAAUACUCUGCUAUGAGGUAAGAACAUAUGUGUAAGGAACUGUGGACAUCUUGACGGUACUUAGUCAGAAAGCCACGGCUAACUACGUG